CUGGCGGCGUGCCUAAUACAUGCAAGUCGAACGCACUCUCGUUUAGAUUGAAGGAGCUUGCUCCUGAUUGAUAAACAUUUGAGUGAGUGACGGACGGGUGAGUAACACGUGGGUAACCUGCCCUAAAGUGGGGGAUAACAUUUGGAAACAGAUGCUAAUACCGCAUAAAACCUAACACCGCAUGGUGUAGGGUUGAAAGAUGGUUUCGGCUAUCACUUUAGGAUGGACCCGCGGUGCAUUAGUUAGUUGGUGAGGUAAAGGCUCACCAAGACCGUGAUGCAUAGCCGACCUGAGAGGGUAAUCGGCCACACUGGGACUGAGACACGGCCCAGACUCCUACGGGAGGCAGCAGUAGGGAAUCUUCCACAAUGGACGAAAGUCUGAUGGAGCAACGCCGCGUGAGUGAAGAAGGUUUUCGGAUCGUAAAACUCUGUUGUUGGAGAAGAAUGUAUCUGAUAGUAACUGAUCAGGUAGUGACGGUAUCCAACCAGAAAGCCACGGCUAACUACGUG
rnacentral:rRNA from 1 species